rnacentral:misc_RNA from 1 species
GGAAUCCAGCAAUUGAAAAGGCGCUAAAUUUCAUCUGCUGGUAUUCGCACAUAGGCUAACUGACACGCUUCCAUCAAUUUUGGUCAGGAAAGUUUAAUGUGUGAGUCUGUAAAUGAAGAAAUUUGGGAAGCUCAGUCCAAAGGACAUACCAAUCUCUACUUGAAUUAUCGUAAGCUUAGCGAGUUGCCUGAGGAACUUCUUAAUUUGUCCAGGAUAAAGAAACUUUACCUCAAACAAAAUGUUCUGACCAAGCUGCCUGCAGAUAUCUGGAAGCUUGAAAAUCUGGUAGAGCUAUAUAUACAUUCUAAUUACCUUCAUCACCUUCCAGAUGAGAUUGGAAAACUUCAAGUGCUUGAAAAAUUAAAUGUCAGUUUCAACCACCUUAAGAUCCUGACGCCAGCUGUCAGUCAGCUGAAAUCACUGACUUCCCUUGAACUUGCCAACAAUCAGUUGACAUUUUUACCUAAAGAGCUUGGAAAUCUCACCAAUUUGAGAGAUCUCAAUGUCAUGAACAACAAGCUUGAGUGGUUACCAUGGCAACUGUGUAACUGUUCAUCUCUCAAGAUUCUGUCAUUUGAUGGGAAUGCAGUUCAGAAGAUUCCACAUCAAUUAAUGACACAUCAAGGACUGGCUGAACUGUAUGCAAGUGGAAAUAAUUUGUGUACUUUGCCUCAAGAUUUGAAUAAACUCUCAUCGCUGGAGUCACUGAUACUGGAUCACAAUACCAAACUUCAGCUGUUACCAGCAACACUAUUGAAAAUGAAGGAUUUAAAAAUGAUUGGCUUGAGUGUGCCACUAAGGAGCUGGCCAGACUGCCAGGGAGAGAUUCUAAAGAAUUGGUGGAGGUGUUGAAUUUAAGGAAUAUUCUUCAAGGGAGCAGUGGAAGAAUCCUUCCUCUCCUUGAGUUGUGCUUCAGAAAAGUGCACUGCUUUGUUCGGUCAGUCAGUGUUGAAAAACUUUCGUCCCUUGAGCUACCAUCCCACGUGACCACGCUACUGGCUGCGCCCACAGGACACUGUUUCGUUUGUGACAGUUCUUACUUCACAGCGGUAUUCCUCCAG